rnacentral:rRNA from 1 species
CACAGAGGGGGCAAGCGUUGUUCGGAAUUACUGGGCGUAAAGAGCUCGUAGGUGGUUUGUCGCGUUGUUCGUGAAAACCGGGGGCUUAACCCUCGGCGUGCGGGCGAUACGGGCAGACUGGAGUACUGCAGGGGAGACUGGAAUUCCUGGUGUAGCGGUGGAAUGCGCAGAUAUCAGGGGGAACACCAAUGGCGAAGGCAGCUCGCUGGGACGGUACUGACGCUGAGACGCGAAAGCGUGGGGAGCGAACAGG